rnacentral:rRNA from 1 species
UACAGAGGUCUCAAGCGUUGUUCGGAUUCAUUGGGCGUAAAGGGUGUGUAGGUGGCGCGCUAAGUCGGGUGUGAAAUUUCGGAGCUUAACUCCGAAACUGCAUUCGAUACUGGCGUGCUUGAGGACUGGAGAGGAGACUGGAAUUUACGGUGUAGCGGUGAAAUGCGUAGAUAUCGUAAGGAAGACCAGUGGCGAAGGCGGGUCUCUGGACAGUUCCUGACGCUGAGGCACGAAGGUCAGGGGGAGCAAAACGGGG